GAUAUAGCUCAGUGGUAGAGCACUUGCCUAGCAUGUAUGUGAGGCCCUGGGUUCAAACCCCAGUAUC
rnacentral:tRNA from 1 species